UACAGAGGGGGCAAGCGUUGUUCGGAAUUACUGGGCGUAAAGGGCGCGUAGGCGGCCUGCUAAGUCGAACGUGAAAUCCCCAGGCUUAACCUGGGAACUGCGUCGGAUACUGGAUGGCUUGAAUCCGGGAGAGGGAUGCGGAAUUCCAGGUGUAGCGGUGAAAUGCGUAGAUAUCUGGAGGAACACCGGUGGCGAAGGCGGCAUCCUGGACCGGCAUUGACGCUAAAGCGCGAAAGCCAGGGGAGCAAACGGG
rnacentral:rRNA from 1 species